rnacentral:piRNA from 1 species
UGUUAUAAGGUCUUUACCAGGUGC